rnacentral:lncRNA from 1 species
CCUGUCCCGAACGCAGAUCAGCGGGUCUCUGCUCCUUUGGUGGGCCUAAAGCCAUGGAGGGAAACUCACGCAAGGUGCCCGGACACCCCACAGCCCGACCCCCGAGGGUGGGUAAUGCUUUCUUGGGGGAGCCUGGUGAGGGCAGAGGGGGGCGGGCUGGUUCCUGCCUGGGGCCUCCACCCUCAGACCCGCGGAGGCACAGGUGUUAUUUAAAAAUCGUUAAAAAGAAAAAAAAAAAAACAAAAAAACAAACACAACAGAACACAUUUAAAUAGGUAUCCAAGACAGUUCUUCAAAAACAAACCCACUCCUUUUUUCUCCUUUUUCUUUUUUUCUUUUUUUUUGGAAAAUAAAACAAACAAAAACAAGUCCUUGACCCCUACC